rnacentral:misc_RNA from 1 species
GGGGGCGACCCGGACCUCGCGCCCGGGAGUCCCCCAGAGGUCCAACCACACACACUGCGUCUUUGCGUCGAGUAUUGAAUCACAAUCAAUCAAAACUUUCAACAACGGAUCUCUUGGUUCUGGCAUCGAUGAAGAACGCAGCGAAAUGCGAUAAGUAAUGUGAAUUGCAGAAUUCAGUGAAUCAUCGAAUCUUUGAACGCACAUUGCGCCCUUUGGCAUUCCGAAGGGCAUGCCCGUUCGAGCGUCAUUACACCACUCAAGCCUGGCUUGGUAUUGGGCGCCGGGAGCCUCCCGCGCCCCUAAUUCGUCGGCUGGACGGUUCGACUCUCAGCGUUGUGGUUUCAUCAAAUCGCUGGCGAGGACGACCGGACGCGCCAUAAAACAUUCAUCGCAGGUUGACCUCGGAUCGGGUAGGGAUACCCGCUGAACUUAAGCAUAUCAAUAAG